GUGCUAGCUUUAGCAGCAUAUAUACUAAAAUCAGAAGAAUUCAGAGAUUAGUAUGGUCUCUGCUCAAGAAUGACAUGCAAAUUAUGAAGUGUUCCAUAUUUUA